CCUACGGUGCGCAGCAGUGAGGAAUAUUGGUCAAUGGGCGCGAGCCUGAACCAGCCAAGUAGCGUGAAGGAUGACUGCCCUACGGGUUGUAAACUUCUUUUAUAAAGGAAUAAAGUGAGGCACGUGUGACUUUUUGUAUGUACUUUAUGAAUAAGGAUCGGCUAACGCCGUGCCAGCAGCAGCGGUAAUAAGGAGGAUCCGAGCGUUAUACGGAUUUAGUGGGUUUAAAGGGAGCGUAGAUGGGGUGUUAAGUCAGUGGUGAAGGUCUGCGGCUUAACCGUAAAAUUGCAAUUGAUACUGGCAGCCUUGAGUACAGUUGAGGUAGGCGGAAUUCGUGGUGUAGCGGUGAAAUGCUUAGAUAUCACGAAGAACUCCGAUGGCGAAGGCAGCUUACUAGACUGCCACUGACAUUGAUGCUCGAAAGUGUGGGUAUCAAACAGGAUUAGAUACCCUUGUAGUC
rnacentral:rRNA from 1 species